rnacentral:rRNA from 1 species
GAUGAUGUGGUUUAAUUCGAUGCAACGCGAAAAACCUUACCCACCUUUGACAUGUACGGAAGUGACCAGAGAUGGACAUGUGCUCGAAAGAGAACCGUAACACAGGUGCUGCAUGGCUGUCGUCAGCUCGUGUCGUGAGAUGUUGGGUUAAGUCCCGCAACGAGCGCAACCCUUGCCAUUAGUUGCUACAUUUAGUUGGGCACUCUAAUGGGACUGCCGGUGACAAACCGGAGGAAGGUGGGGAUGACGUCAAGUCCUCAUGGCCCUUAUAGGUGGGGCUACACACGUCAUACAAUGGCUGGUACAAAGGGUUGCCAACCCGCGAGGGGGAGCUAAUCCCAUAAAGCCAGUCGUAGUCCGGAUCGCAGUCUGCAACUCGACUGCGUGAAGUCGGAAUCGCUAGUAAUCGUGGAUCAGAAUGUCACGGU